ACGGGGCCCGCACAAGCGGUGGAGCAUGUGGUUUAAUCGAAGCAACGCGAAGUAACCUUACCAGGUCUUGACAUCCCGAUGCUAUUUCUAGAGAUAGAAGUUACUUCGGUACAUCGGUGACAGGUGGUGCAUGGUUGUCGUCAGCUCGUGUCGUGAGAUGUUGGGUUAAGUCCCGCAACGAGCGCAACCCCUAUUGUUAGUUGCCAUCAUUCAGUUGGGCACUCUAGCGAGACUGCCGGUAAUAAACCGGAGGAAGUGGGGAUGACGUCAAAUCAUCAUGCCCCUUAUGACCUGGGCUACACACGUGCUACAAUGGUUGGUACAACGAGUUGCGAGUCGGUGACGGCGAGCUAAUCUCUUAAAGCCAAUCUCAGUUCGGAUUGUAGGCUGCAACUCGCCUACAUGAAGUCGGAAUCGCUAGUAAUCGCGGAUCAGCACGCCGCGGUGAAUACGUUCCCGGGCCUU
rnacentral:rRNA from 1 species